GACGAACGCUGGCGGCGUGCUUAACACAUGCAAGUCGAGCGGUAAGGCCCUUCGGGUACACGAGCGGCGAACGGGUGAGUAACACGUGGGUGACCUGCCCUUCACUCUGGGAUAAGCCUGGGAAACUGGGUCUAAUACCGGAUAUGACCUGCUCUCGCAUGGGGGUUGGUGGAAAGUCAGUAUUGUAGUGAUGCUGGCGGUGGGGGAUGGGCCCGCGGUCUAUCAGCUUGUUGGGGGGGUGAU
rnacentral:rRNA from 1 species